GUGCUAAGCUUCGGCAGCAUAUAUACUAAAAAACUGGAACGAUAGAGAUUAGCAUGGCCCCUGCACAAGGAUGACACGCAAACUCGUGAAGCGUUCCAUAUUAAA